rnacentral:rRNA from 1 species
GACGAACGCUGGCGGCGUGCUUAACACAUGCAAGUCGAACGGAGUGGCGAACGGGUGAGUAACACGUGGGUGAUCUGCCUUGCACUUCGGGAUCAGCUUGGGAAACUGGGUCUAAUACCGGACAUUGCAAGAUGAGCUCUCUGCCUAUCAGCUUGGUGGUGGGGUAAUGGCCUACCAAGGCGUCGACGGGUAGCCGGCCGGAGAGGGGGUACGGCCACAUAGGGACUGAGAGAAGGCCCAGACUCCUACGGGAGGCAGCAGGGGGGAAUGUUGCACAAGGGGCGGAAGCCUGAUGCAGCGACGCCGCGUGGGGGAUGGAGGCCUUCGGGUUGUAAACACCUUUCGACAGGGACGCGGUACCUGUAGAAGAAGCACCGGCUAACUACGUGCCAGCCGCCGCGGUAAUUC